UACGUAGGCAGCAAGCGUUGUUCGGAGUUACUGGGCGUAAAGGGUGUGUAGGCGGUUGGAUAAGUGUGGUGUGAAAUCUCCCGGCUCAACUGGGAGGGUGCGCUACAAACUGUCUGACUAGAGUGUGGGAUGGGAAAGUGGAAUUCCUGGUGUAGCGGUGAAAUGCGCAGAUAUCAGGAGGAACACCGGUGGCGAAGGCGGUGGUCUGGGCCGGAACUGACGCUGAGGAGCGAAAGCGUGGGGAGCGAACAGG
rnacentral:rRNA from 1 species